rnacentral:rRNA from 1 species
GACGAACGCUGGCGGCGUGCUUAACACAUGCAAGUCGAACGUGAUUUUUGUGGAAAUUCUUUCGGGAAUGGAAAUGAAAUGAAAGUGGCGAACGGGUGAGUAACACGUGAGCAACCUACCUUACACAGGGGGAUAGCCGUUGGAAACGACGAUUAAUACCGCAUGAGACCACAGAAUCGCAUGAUAUAGGGGUCAAAGAUUUAUCGGUGUAAGAAGGGCUCGCGUCUGAUUAGCUAGUUGGAAGGGUAAAGGCCUACCAAGGCGACGAUCAGUAGCCGGUCUGAGAGGGUGAUCGGCCACACUGGGACUGAGACACGGCCCAGACUCCUACGGGAGGCAGCAGUAGGGAAUCUUCGGCAAUGGACGGAAGUCUGACCGAGCAACGCCGCGUGAGUGAAGAAGGUUUUCGGAUCGUAAAGCUCUGUUGUAAGAGAAGAACGAGUGUGAGAGUGGAAAGUUCACACUGUGACGGUAUCUUACCAGAAAGGGACGGCUAACUACGUGCCAGCAGCCGCGGUAAUACGUAGGUCCCGAGCGUUGUCCGGAUUUAUUGGGCGUAAAGCGAGCGCAGGCGGUUAGAUAAGUCUGAAGUUAAAGGCUGUGGCUUAACCAUAGUACGCUUUGGAAACUGUUUAACUUGAGUGCAAGAGGGGAGAGUGGAAUUCCAUGUGUAGCGGUGAAAUGCGUAGAUAUAUGGAGGAACACCGGUGGCGAAAGCGGCUCUCUGGCUUGUAACUGACGCUGAGGCUCGAAAGCGUGGGGAGCAAACAGG